AAUAUUAUUCAAAAAACGUGUCGAGUAAUUUUUUAUUAUGGUAUUAAAGAAUGCAAUGCGACAAUAGCUUGGCGAAGCCUAAGAAGAUUAUGGACGCCUGCUUCAGAGCUCCUCUACAGAAGAAUCAGUGGCAGCAGAGUAACAAAUUGUGCCGCAAGAAUUGCCGAAAAAUUGCCACUUCGUGCUGCUCUUUCCUCUCUCUCUGAGGCGUUCCAAAUAUUGGAUUUGUGCCGCUGUUGAGCCCGAGAAGAGAUUGGAAAUUGGGUUUCCAAGGAAAAUGGCCUGGAGUCAGGAAAAAUGUAACGCAGACGUUGAGAACAAGUUGGAGGUGGUUCGGCCUCGGGGCCUGCCUGCCACAGAAGUUUACUCUGAAGAGGUUGUUGUUCAGAGUUUCCCCUUAUUUCAUCAAUUUGGAAGCAGUUAAUUGGAUUCAUGAGAUUAAAGGAAAUACUUAUACAAACCUAAAUAAUUAUGCAAACCUUUCUGCAAUUUAUGUUGGAGAUGCAUCAGAGAUAAAGCAUUUUGCAGUUACUGACCAUCUGCGUCAUGGGAUACUUAAUUCCCUAGUCUACUUCUGGAACCUGUUGCUCUUGUAAUAAGGUGAAGUUGUACCUCUUUUCCCUGUUCUGGUAGAAAAGGAAAGAAAUUGUAGCAUUUGAACAUAGCUUUCGUUUAAUAGACUAACUAAAUGAGGUUGAAAACUGAUGAUUUUCUCACCCGAAAUUGCCACUUUAUUAUAUAAUAUGUUCGCUUGUACUUUAAUAUCUUGAAUUUUAAUGUUAGACUAUUUCUUUUGGGGGUUUGUAGCAGAGUGAAGGGCACUUGAGAAUUUGUUACUAUUACAUACUAUAGGAAGAAGUAUAGCGAGAAGUUGCAGCAGUCAGAAUAUCAAAUUCCAUAUGCUAUAUCUUCUAUGGAAUUGUUCGACACACAUUAAGGAGGGAGAUUUGGGUAAUUUUAUUGAUAUUUGAUACAUAUCAAUUUCCAUAUGUUAAAAGGUGAUCCCUUCGGUACAAAAAAUGUUUGGAAUAUAAAACCAUAAAGCAACAUAGGCUGAUCUCUCCAAAACGUAAUAUAAGUAAUUUAUUGAUACCAAUUUUGUUCUGGUUAGGGGCUGCAUCAGAUUUAUUGUGGUUCCUUGUGACAUGGAUAUAACGUAUUGAUCCCAACUUAACUCAGGAUCAAAGUGGCUUGCACUUUCCAUUGUUUGUAUUAUAUAAUUUGGUGGAGUUGCCAGAUAGUUUAUUGCUGGAAUUAUUUAUUUUAUGUCUGCAAUACAGCCUUGAGGACAAGGCUAUUUUCAGGGGGGACUGAAGGGAAGAGAGAAAAGAAGCAGGAAGAUGUAUUCUAGGUGAAGCAAGAAAGUGCUGGUAGGAUUGCAAUUGGUUGGACAGCUCAUUUCAAUUUUGUUGUAAUUCUCGGGUGCAUGUGAUGCACCAGCGGGGAAUGCUAUAUAUAGGAGAGAAAGGGCAGCGUGAGGAGAGGAACAGUUGUCUUGUAUUUUUCCAGCUAGUAGAUAGCUUGGGGGCAGUAGUCAUACUGCUGGGGGGUAAGAGAGGUCUUAGCGUCUUGUAUCCACCUGUAAUUCUGAAAUUAAUCAAUAAAAUCCUCCAUUCUCAUUGCUAUUGCAAUUUCUCUGUUUCUGUUCUUCCAUUUUCUGCUAUAGUUGAUUCCUUACUCUAUCAGUACAGCAGCUUAUUAUGGAAGAGUGAAGCUGGAUCUGUGUCAUUUUGAAGGGUUACAAGUGUGUUCUAGAAGAUGCAAGUAGUUAUGACAGCCUAGAAGUAGUGUUAAUAUCCCACAUCGAUUUAGGAUAAGGGUAAUGUGCCCUCUAUAAAAGCUUAGACAUUCCUCUCUCCUUGAACUGACUUUCGGAGGUAAGCAAGGCCCAGCCCAUUUUAUUAAGAUGGUAUUGGAGCCUUCCCAAUUGACGUUGGGCCUCUCAUAAGUGUUUCACGUUCACGCUCUUAAGUGUUCGAUUCUAGAUGUGAGAGGAGUAUAUUAAUAUCCCAAAUCAGUUUGGGAUAGGGGUAGUGUGCCCCUUAUAAAGCCUUUGGGCAGUCCUCCCCCUUGAGCUAACUUUUUGGGGGUGAGUUAGGCUUGGCCCAUUUUACUAAGAAGUAGAUAGAAGGAAGUUACAACUGUUAGUUGACUCACUCUAGAAGUCUUUUGUACUGACCAAUGAGAAUUCAGUAGUCAGCUAGACAGUUAUUAGGCAGAGAAUAUAUAAAGGAGAAGAUCCUUUUCUGUAAAGUCACUCUUGAAUUUCCAGAAAUAAUAUCUUCUCUUCCCUCUCUCUCUCUCUCUCUCUCUCUCUGAUUUCCUCUCAUUUUCCUUCCCUUUCUUCUGAAAUUUCCCCCCUUUCUUCUCUAAUUGUUCUGUUAGGAUUCUGAAACCCUAACAGAAUUCCAUGAAUCCAGGAUUGGACAGUGUUGGGAGUCAGAGUGGCUCUCAUUAGUAUGAAUUUUUAGCAGGCAAUAGUGGUUGCAUCAAGGAUUUUGAGAUUCUCUGAGAACAUUUUGCACGUUUUAUGAAGGUGGUGUGCUUUGAAGUUUCCUCUGGAUGUGCAGGAUCAACAGUUGUGAACCUUACCAGGCAAGGAAAGCACAUGAUUCUUAGACAUGAAGGGUAAACUUCCAUUUGAGACACUCUCUAAUAUGUAAAUCUCUCAGCAAAAGAACAUUAAUUCUUUUGGUAGUUAUAUUUUGUAAUUUGAAGGAUGAGAAAUUAUCAGCUGGCUCUCAGUUGGUAUUUAAACCAUUUUAAAUGUUAUUUAUGACCUUCCAUUUGAGUUCAAAAAUUAAAAUCAUACAAACUUUAGAAUUUAGAUGAAAAACAGUAAUCUUGUUUUAUUUAGCUUGCUGUUGGAUGGAGAUGGUGUUUUGUGGAAGUGUAUGGAUCAGCUAUGACUAUUGCUCCAAUUUAUAAUAUUCAUAAACGCAGCAGGUAUUUCUCUCUUCACGACAUGUUUUUUCGCGGUAAAAGAAGAAAGAAAAAAAAAAAUCAUUUAUCUGUUUUGCUAUUACAGAUUAACCUUUACUUGAUUAUAGACUAUCUUCUGUUCUGCAUAUAAGAUUCGUGUUUGUGAAGAAUAUUGCUGUAUUGAUAAUGAAUUGUUUCUGAUAAAAAAAUUUGUUUCAUAUCUUUUGGGUGUCUCAAUUACUAGUAAUUUAAUGCUAAAACAGAAAUGCUUUUAUUUGAUUCGAAUUAUCUGCUAAUGAUCUUUCUAAUUCCUCUAUUUGCAGCCUUUUUCUUUGCAGACCUCUGUGUGUGCGUGUGCGCAUGUUUUACUUUUUAUUUCCUUUAGUUACCCUAAUACUCAGAGUCUCCUCAAAUGACGUUUUGCUGUGUACCUUCAAUGGAAACCAAGAAACCAUGACAAUAAAAAGCAUUGUCUAAGCAAGGAAACAAUGGCUAUUCAAAGAAGAUGUUGCAAUGAUGCAUCAUAUAGUUUUAUUUCAACAGAUGAGAAUGAAUUUGCUUGUGCAUGGGAAAACUGUCACUAUGCGCCGAUUAUAAUAUAUUUUUGGAUAUGAGCUUAAGUUGUCUUUAAGUUUUUGCUUAGCUUGUCUUGGAUAUGCAUUCUUGGUAGUAAUUGAUGGACAGGACAGUUUGUGGAAAUGAAAUUAGUUAAUAAUUGUUACAUAUGUAUCAUUUGGGUGAAUUUAUCUAAAUUUCUUUGACGGCAGUAGGAUUUUUUGUUCAAGGAAAAAUAGAAGAUCAAGAUAAAUUUUAACUUUCAAUCUAGGUUUUCUUGUAUGCAGAAGAAUAAUUGAGUUGGUGGUUGAAAUGAAAACAUUUGAAACUUCUUUUCAUUCUCAGACGUGACUGCAGAAAAAGGGAAGAAUCUCAGUGAGUGACCUCAUUGAAUGAAAAUGAUGAUGAUUAAAACAAGUUCAUCAUUUCAAAAGGGCAUGCUGUGGGGUUUACGGUUUGUGGCAGGACUUUGGGAGCUUGUAGCAUUCCUUCCUUCAAGAAGAUCCAGAGGCAUGUUGUAUUUGCUGUUUUUUAUGAAAGAAAGACUUGCUAAGUCCUCAAGCAUGAAGGGCUGUAGCACACAGUUAACAGCUUCAACAUUGAUAAGCUGCACAGGUAUUGCUUCAAACAGAAUGUCUCAUCAUUCUGAGAUUCACGGUAUGUAACUGUUCGCACUGUAGAUGCUACUUUGCAAUGUGUCCUUAUACAUCAUGAAUUCCCUUGAGCUUGUUUCAGUAUCAUCAUACAUCUGUUUCAAUAUCAUCAUACAUCAGUGUCUAAUGAAUAAAUCAGCAUGUAAGUUUAUCUGUCAGUUUUCACAGUACUAGAAAAGAUUGGAGCUAUGACAUACAUUAAAUUAAACUUGUGUCAGUUUCUUUGUUAUCUUUCCAAGACUUAGCAUCCCAAAUUAUUAGCCUUGUUUGACCAGCAUCAAAUUCAAUAUCAUUAUCUAGUCUUGCUGUCUUUUUAUCCCAUGGCUUUCACAUCGAUUCUCUUCUAAUCAAGGAUUCUUUGAAUCUCUGAUCACUUGCAUUAUGAAGAAGUACUAGAUCAUUAAUGUAAUCUCAUGUGAUGUUUAUAUAUAUUUAGGUUUUGUUUGUUUUGUAGAAAAUAAUUUGUAUAUAAAAAUUAUUUUAGUAAAAAAUGUUUUUCAUGAAAAUAUUUUAUAUUCUUUGGUUGCAAUGUUAAAUUAAUGAUAUGUGUUUAUGUCAUGUACGUAUAAGUAUUUUUACAUUUUAAUGAGAUUAUCAAAAUCCAGAAAAUAACAUUCUCAUCAUUGUUACAUAAAAAUUAUUUAGUUUUUCAUUCUAUCAAAGAAAUAUUUUCUAUUAUUGAGUAUUCUAAAUAUUAAAAAAUAUAAAAAUAUAUUUUUAAAAUAAAUAUUUUUCACAAAACACAGAUAUAUAUUUUUUUUCAAAAUAUAACGAGAAAAGACAUAUGAAUAUUGAAAGUUUGAAACAUUCAAUAAUCAAUACUCAUGUUUCAAUCAUUUGGAAAUGACAUUGAUUGGAAACUCAAAUAAUUUCAUAUAAGAAUUUUCUAAGCAUUCUAAAUGUUAAAAAAUAUAUAUUUUUAAAAUAAAUAUUUUUCAUAAAAUACAGAGGGAUACAUAUUAUUUUCAAAAUAUAGUGAGAAAAGACAUCGGAAUGUUGAAAGUUAGAAACAUUCAAUAAUCAAUAAUAAUGUUUCAAUCAUUUGGAGAUGACAUUGAUUGGAAACUCAAAUAAUCUCAUACAGGAACAAUAAGAAGGCGAUUUCACCUCUUCCCUAAGAAGAUUAUGCACAAACUGAAAAUGUGAAAAGCCACAUGAUGUGAUCAGAUUGUGAUCAGAAUGUGGACCCCUCUUAAUUUGGCGGAGAAUAUCACGCACUUUUAAAAUAAAGUGAAAGAAAAUUCAAUUUCAACUUUGUUUGAAGCAAGACUUUUCUAUGGUCAGGCGUAUGCAUCUAAAUAAUUUAAAAGUAUCAUAUUAAUUAAAAAAAAAAUUUAUUUAAUUAUAUUUUAUUCAUCUCUCCUGAUUUCAGCUCCGGUUUUCUUUCUUGAUUUUUUGCUUCGCGCUUUUCAUGUGCUUCCCUUGUCCUUUGGGACAUGGGAAAUCUGCGUUGUUUUGCUUUAGCUCGGGAUAGUUUUCCUCCUACCUCUAGUGUCACGGGACGGAAAUUCUAGCCCCGUGCGACACCUAAGUCCCCCUUGACCAGGGCCCUUAGGUCAGCCUUUCUCCCUAUUUAGCAAGCUUGCAUAAGCCCAAAUAUUAAGUAUUUUCGAGGUUUCUCGCACGUACCUGUACAGUUUCACACUGGUUAACUCAUAGGGCAAGAGAGAGCUUGUGACGGUCUUGCCAACUGCAAAGAAUAGGAGUGGAAAAUUGUCAAACCGUUACAUUCUCCCCCACCCAAUUCUGCAAACGCCCUCGUUUGCGUGUACGUUGCUUCCCUGCGCAACUUAGUCACACUCCCUCGCACAUAGGAGUCUACACACCAUUUGUUACACUCGCCCAAUGCAAACACUUGAGCAACAUGUUGGCCACUAGUUUGCCAAUGCACUCACCCGCUUCCGCACGCAGACAUCCUCCAAAAUGCCUUGCCAAGAUUCAUCAUUUUACUCGCCAGACGCAUACAAGCUGCAUAACAUGCUGCACUUGUCCCUCGGAUUGACCCCUUUCUUAUCCGACGUGGGAUUGAGAAACCCUUGUCUACCUCUGUCCCAUUAAGGCUUGACACUCUCCCCCACCUGAUUUCAGCAACACUCUUAUCACCAUCGGCACCCUGCCUACCCCGAUCUUAUUGGGGCGCUUGGCGUGAUUUGGAUCGUCUGAGGCCUUGCUCUGAUACUACAUUGUCACGAGACGGGAGUUCUAGCCCCGUGCGGCACCUAGGUCCGCCUUGGCCAAGGCCCCUAGGUCAGCCUUUCUCCUUAUAUAGCAAGCUUGCAUAAGCCCAAAUAUUAAGUAUCUUCGAGGUUUCUCGCACGUACCUGUAUAAAUUCACACUGGUUAGCUCCAUAGGGCAAGAGACAGCUUGUGACGGCCUUGCCAACUGCUAAGAAUAGGAGUGGGGAACUGCCGAACUGUUACACGAGUUGGUUGUGUAUAUUUAUGUUUUUGUGAGUUGUAAAUGGUGGUUUUAGGUUGAGGGUUUUUGUUCGGUUUGUUGGGUUGUUCUCUUGGGUCUAGGGUUUGUUCUGCGCAUUGAAAGGGCUUCACUUGCUUCGGUUGUUUCAUAUCCCCAAGAUCUGCUUCUACACUAUGAUUGGAAAAAAGGUCUUCUUGAUGGUCUGCGAGUGCCAAGAAGCUCUGCAGCAGUAUCUUUUUGUCGUUGUAAAGUUAGAGUUUGUGUUUUUUUUAGGAAUUUAAAAGGUUAGGUACUGUUUGGUUGAAUUAUUAUGUUUUGAUGGACGACUAUGAUUGCUCCUUGUGUUGGCUUAGAUUUAUGCUCAACAUCUCUGAUGGUAGCAAGUUUUGGUAGUGAUCGACUACAUGCUUCUCUGUUUUGAUGCUUUUCCUUGUAAAUUUAGGAUUUGUAGAUUAGAGAUGAAUUUGAUUUGCGAGUUCAAAUCUUUAGUUGGGUUUGGAUUGAGUUGUAUUGAUUUGUUAGGCUUAUUGCUAGCUAUACAAUAUAAAUUUCCUUAUUUGUUUAAUUAUUUUUUUGGAUUCAA